AGAGUUUGAUCAUGGCUCAGAUUGAACGCUGGCGGCAGGCCUAACACAUGCAAGUCGAGCGGUAGCACAGAGAGCUUGCUCUCGGGUGACGAGCGGCGGACGGGUGAGUAAUGUCUGGGAAACUGCCUGAUGGAGGGGGAUAACUACUGGAAACGGUAGCUAAUACCGCAUAACGUCGCAAGACCAAAGUGGGGGACCUUCGGGCCUCAUGCCAUCAGAUGUGCCCAGAUGGGAUUAGCUAGUAGGUGGGGUAACGGCUCACCUAGGCGACGAUCCCUAGCUGGUCUGAGAGGAUGACCAGCCACACUGGAACUGAGACACGGUCCAGACUCCUACGGGAGGCAGCAGUGGGGAAUAUUGCACAAUGGGCGCAAGCCUGAUGCAGCCAUGCCGCGUGUGUGAAGAAGGCCUUCGGGUUGUAAAGCACUUUCAGCGGGGAGGAAGGCGUUAAGGUUAAUAACCUUGGCGAUUGACGUUACCCGCAGAAGAAGCACCGGCUAACUCCGUGCCAGCAGCCGCGGUAAUACGGAGGGUGCAAGCGUUAAUCGGAAUUACUGGGCGUAAAGCGCACGCAGGCGGUCUGUCAAGUCGGAUGUGAAAUCCCCGGGCUCAACCUGGGAACUGCAUUCGAAACUGGCAGGCUAGAGUCUUGUAGAGGGGGGUAGAAUUCCAGGUGUAGCGGUGAAAUGCGUAGAGAUCUGGAGGAAUACCGGUGGCGAAGGCGGCCCCCUGGACAAAGACUGACGCUCAGGUGCGAAAGCGUGGGGAGCAAACAGGAUUAGAUACCCUGGUAGUCCACGCCGUAAACGAUGUCGAUUUGGAGGUUGUGCCCUUGAGGCGUGGCUUCCGGAGCUAACGCGUUAAAUCGACCGCCUGGGGAGUACGGCCGCAAGGUUAAAACUCAAAUGAAUUGACGGGGGCCCGCACAAGCGGUGGAGCAUGUGGUUUAAUUCGAUGCAACGCGAAGAACCUUACCUGGUCUUGACAUCCACAGAACUUUCCAGAGAUGGAUUGGUGCCUUCGGGAACUGUGAGACAGGUGCUGCAUGGCUGUCGUCAGCUCGUGUUGUGAAAUGUUGGGUUAAGUCCCGCAACGAGCGCAACCCUUAUCCUUUGUUGCCA
rnacentral:rRNA from 1 species